rnacentral:tRNA from 1 species
GCGAGAGUGGCGAAACGGCAGACGCGCUGGAUUUAGGAUCCAGUCCUGAAAAGGGUGGGGGUUCGAAUCCCCCCUCUCGCA